rnacentral:lncRNA from 1 species
UACUAUAAUAUCCCUCUGGUGCACUUACAACAAUAUAUAAUACAAACAAAGUGAAUCUGCAGAAAAUGAUUGAGGGAUGCCAAAUAGAAAAUGAGGCCAGAAAUCUAGCUAAGCAAGCGUACUUGUAUAAAGUCGCUGAAACAUGGACCCCAAUUGUUAACCCUGUAAACCUGAAGAUCAAGUGAGAAAAUCAAAUAAAAUUAGAACCUUUUCUCAUCAAGUAAAAGUGUAAAACAUUGGGAAGUCAACUUGAAACAUAGAUCACAAUUAUCAAUCUGUAAACCUGAAGAUUCCAUGAAGAGCAAUGAAAGAAAAGCAAAAAAGAUUAGCCAUACCAGCCUAUGUUAGGAGUGCAACAUCCAAAAUUUUGGCACAUAAAGUACGAGUUCUGAAACGUCAAAG